rnacentral:rRNA from 1 species
UGGGGAAUAUUGGACAAUGGGGGAAACCCUGAUCCAGCAAUGCCGCGUGAGUGAAGAAGGCCUUCGGGUUGUAAAGCUCUUUUGUUAGGGAAGAUAAUGACGGUACCUAACGCAUAAGCUCCGGCUAACUUCGUGCCAGCAGCCGCGGUAAUACGAAGGGAGCUAGCGUUGUUCGGAAUUACUGGGCGUAAAGGGCGCGUAGGCGGCUUUGUAAGUCAGCGGUGAAAGCCCCGGGCUUAACCUGGGAACUGCAUUUGAUACUGCAAGGCUAGAGGAUGAGAGAGGAAAGUGGAAUUACGAGUGUAGAGGUGAAAUUCGUAGAUAUUCGUAAGAACACCAGUGGCGAAGGCGGCUUUCUGGCUCAUUACUGACGCUAAGGCGCGAAAGCGUGGGGAGCAAA